rnacentral:rRNA from 1 species
CCCUUAGAUGUUCUGGGCCGCACACGCGCUACACUGAAGGAGGCAGCGUGUACUCCUGGAUCGAAAGAUUUGGGUAACCCGCGAAUCUCCUUCGUGCUAGGGAUUGAGGUUUGCAAUUAUCCCUCAUGAACGAGGAAUUCCCAGUAAGUGCAAGUCAUAAGCUUGCGCUGACUACGUCCCUGCCCUUUGUACACACCGCCCGUCGCUACUACCGAUUGAAUGAUUUAGUGAGGACUUCGGACUGGGACCGAUGCGGCUUUCGGGCUGCGUCGGUAUUCUGGAAAGAUGUCCAAACUGUAUCAUUUAGAGGAAGUAAAAGUCGUANCA